CGCCGGGAGAAUUAGCUCGGCGCGGUGCAUGGGGCUAGAACUCAGGGCCCAGCAGGUCUGACAAUGCAGGUUUCCCCGCUCGCCUGUUGGGUUUUUGAAACGCCCUCAGCGGGGUUUUCCUCCUAAUUCUGGUUUGGAGGAGCCAUCUCUCUCCAUCCCGUCUGCCAGCGGGGUUUGCUUCACACACAGACGUGGGCAGAUGGCAUCGGGGACACAGGGAAACCUGACCUUAGAGGAAAUGGAAAAGUUGGAGAGACACUGAGCACUGAUACGAAAUAAUUCUCUUGCUGAAAUACACGAAAGGAGUCCCAGCAGCCAUAUUAGUAUUUCCACGUCCUGUGUCAGCCCCAAGUAGAGAGAACUUGGAAUGGGAGGGGAAAUGGCAGCCAUCAGGAAAUGAAAUGCUGGCCCAGAGAAUUCUAAGCAAGUCAAUCACCAGUCCAACUCUUCCGAAAACUUCCUUGUUUUGCCUUUUCAAACAUCAGGGGCGUGACUUAUAACAGCCAAAUUUUGCCAGCAUGCUGUGUCAUGGGUUCCAGUCCGUGGAGCUCCGUCAUACUCUGUUGGGCAUCCUGUGUCUUAUUCCUCUCUUUAGGUCCAGUUUCUACAUACCUUAUCUGUGUUAUCUCAGGCUUCAGAAGCUUCUCCGUAACGUGGGCUACUUUCCCCUCAUCACUGGGUAUUUAUUUAUUUAUUUUUACUGAAGCCUGAGCCCUGUAACGUUACCACACUGGCCACAGCUUCAGGAGAGAGAUCACUGCUCUCAAGAACUUACAGUCUAGUGAUGGAUACAAAGGUACAUGAAAAAAUAACUAGCAAUGGAAAACAAAGCAUGAAAUGCGAUGAAACGUGGUCAGGAUGCUAAGUGCUAUGACAUAUCACACUCGGAACCUCACUUUGCUCAUAUGAAAAGCUGGAGAGAAUCUUCCCAAGCUUAGCACAUCCUCAUAGGAUUUUGGUGAAAAUCAGAUGAGAUGAGGAAAGGCCAUGUGAGGACAUAAGGAGGAGACAGCCAUCUAUAAGCCAAGAAGAAAGCCCUCACUAGAAACCAACUCUAAUGGCACCCUGAUCUUGGAUUUCUAGCCCCUGGACAAUGAGAAAAUAAAUGUCUGUUGUUUAAGCACCUAGUCUGUGGUAUUUUGUUGUGGCAGCCCCAGCAGACUGACAUACACACCAUCUUACCAGC
rnacentral:lncRNA from 1 species